UACGUAGGGUGCAAGCGUUGUCCGGAAUUAUUGGGCGUAAAGAGCUCGUAGGCGGUUUGUCGCGUCUGCUGUGAAAACUCGGGGCUCAACUCCGAGCUUGCAGUGGGUACGGGCAGACUAGAGUGCGGUAGGGGAGACUGGAAUUCCUGGUGUAGCGGUGGAAUGCGCAGAUAUCAGGAGGAACACCGGUGGCGAAGGCAAUCCCCUGGGCCUGCACUGACGCUCAUGCACGAAAGCGUGGGGAGCAAACAGG
rnacentral:rRNA from 1 species